rnacentral:rRNA from 1 species
AAAUGAAUAGACGGGGGCCCGCACAAGCGGCGGAGCAUGCGGAUUAAUUCGAUGCAACGCGAAGAACCUUACCAAGGCUUGACAUAUACCGGAUCGUUCCAGAGAUGGUUCUUCCCCUUUGGGGUCGGUAUACAGGUGGUGCAUGGUUGUCGUCAGCUCGUGUCGUGAGAUGUUGGGUUAAGUCCCGCAACGAGCGCAACCCUCGUUCCAUGUUGCCAGCACGUGAUGGUGGGGACUCAUGGGAGACUGCCGGGGUCAACUCGGAGGAAGGUGGGGAUGACGUCAAAUCAUCAUGCCCCUUAUGUCUUGGGCUUCACGCAUGCUACAAUGGCCGGUACAAAGGGUUGCGAUACUGUGAGGUGGAGCUAAUCCCAAAAAGCCGGUCUCAGUUCGGAUUGAGGUCUGCAACUCGACCUCAUGAAGUCGGAGUCGCUAGUAAUCGCAGAUCAGCAACGCUGCGGUGAAUACGUUCCCGGGCCUUGUACACACCGCCCGU